rfam:Anaerotruncus sp. CAG:390 genomic scaffold, scf223
CACAAAGAUAGAGGCGCGAAGAUCAUAAGUAGCGCACCGUAGGCUGCGGUAAGCCCGUGACGGUGUGUGAAAGGGGUCAUCGCCGAAGCCGGCUCCCGCCGUGGGUGCUUUGGCUGGGCGUGCGGAUAACAUCCGUCCGACUGUCGCGUAAGCGGAGAGCUAUCGGAGAA